rnacentral:rRNA from 1 species
UAGGGAAUCUUCGGCAAUGGACGGAAGUCUGACCGAGCAACGCCGCGUGAGUGAAGAAGGUUUUCGGAUCGUAAAGCUCUGUUGUUAGAGAAGAACGUUGGUAGGAGUGGAAAAUCUACCAAGUGACGGUAACUAACCAGAAAGGGACGGCUAACUACGUGCCAGCAGCCGCGGUAAUACGUAGGUCCCGAGCGUUGUCCGGAUUUAUUGGGCGUAAAGCGAGCGCAGGCGGUUCUUUAAGUCUGAAGUUAAAGGCAGUGGCUUAACCAUUGUACGCUUUGGAAACUGGAGGACUUGAGUGCAGAAGGGGAGAGUGGAAUUCCAUGUGUAGCGGUGAAAUGCGUAGAUAUAUGGAGGAACACCGGUGGCGAAAGCGGCUCGCUGGUCAGUAACUGACGCAGAGGUUCGAAAGCGUGGGGAGCGAACAGG